UGCAGUCGUACGAGAGUUUUUAACUCUAGUGGCGGACGGGUGAGUAACACGUAAGAAUUUGCCUUUAGGAGGGGGAUAACAGCUGGAAACGGCUGCUAAUACCCCAUAUGCUUUCGAGUGAAAUGGAUUUAUCCGCCUAAAGAGGAGCUUGCGGCUGAUUAGCUUGUUGGUGGGGUAAUGGCUCACCAAGGCGACGAUCAGUAUCUGGUUUGAGAGGACGAUCAGACACACUGGAACUGAGACACGGUCCAGACUCCUACGGGAGGCAGCAGUGGGGAAUUUUCCGCAAUGGGCGCAAGCCUGACGGAGCAAUACCGCGUGAGGGAUGACGGCCUAUGGGUUGUAAACCUCUUUUUUCAGGGAGGAAUCAAUGACGUGUACCUGAAGAAUAAGCAUCGGCUAACUCCGUGCCAGCAGCCGCGGUAAUACG
rnacentral:rRNA from 1 species